AUGCAAUUUGAAUACUAGAGUAACAAUAAUAUGCAAUUUGAAUGUUUAUGACCCAACAAGUAUUGAAUAAAGACAAUGUUGAAUCACACCUAGCAAAUUGUUUAUAAUUCAAGACCGUUUUUUCAUUUAUCUUUUAUAUUAAUUUUGUUUAUUCUUUUCUAUAAGAAUUUGGCCUACUUUGUUUCUACUAUAUAUAACAUAAUCUUUAAUUUCUAUAAUCUCAACUAGACGGUGUGUCAAAGUUCUAGUACCAUUCCACUAGUUAGAGCUCAUAGUACCCGAGAAUGAUGAGUAUAGUUGGUGAUGAUAUAUGAUUUUGAAAAGAUUAUAUGAGAAACAAUAGCUAGAGAAAGAGCCCUUGAUACCUUUCUGAGUAUGUCCAUAUUCAAAUUAUUAGAAGUAAUAACAUAUGAUUGAGUAUGUUGUACAAUUACAUACAAUAUAUCAAAAUUUAAGUACGAAAAUACCACACAAUUCAUCAAAAUAGAAUAAAAUAUAUGCUUAAAUGUAAAUAAAUUAUAUCAUGCAGCAAUCAAAUCAUUUUCAUCUAAACAAAUGUGCAACUGGAAUUAGUUAAAAAAUUAAAUUUAUAUGGUUCCUAUAAAAUUAUAGUAAAAUAUGUCGCAUAUCAGAACAAAUGCUCU
rnacentral:sRNA from 1 species